UUUCAAAACUGUGGAAUAUAACUUAGUUUUUUCUCUAUCGACUACCACUGUAGUACAAUUACAUCGGGAUCGAAGUCGGGCUCGAAAAGCAAUUUAUUUAAAAACAACACACCGCGCCGAAAUUCAAUUUUUUGGAGAGUUCCACGCAGCCAUGUUGAAUUUGAUCAUGAUGUUAUACGGGAGGAAGGGGCGAAAGAGAGUUACUCGAAAAGGAGAAGCAUGAUAAACUUUGGAUGGAAUUUAUGUUUUAAUAGAAGAUGAAGACAUUUACGACCCUGUUUAGCGUUGCAGUGUGGACUGUGCCUGAGACGAUUCCCCAUAACGCCGGCUAUGUAGACAGCUUGUGAAAAUGGAAUCCAAAUGCUCACAAGAAAUGACAAAAGCAGUAUGAAGAUUAACACAACGAAAUUGUGCCAGAAAAGUUUGAAGUAGGUAUGGGAAUGAUCAACAUUGAACUUGCUGAGGCUCUCUUCCUGAAAGUGACUUGACCAGAUAUUUGGCUACCCAGUAUGAGUAUCUUUCUGCUACAUUAAAUAAAAUAUCGUGGAGGAACACGAAGAAAAGGGCUGCGCACCUCAACAUAUUCAAGGUCAAGCAGCUUUUUACCAUAUCCAUAGUAUCUUGCUGCUAAAUGAAAGAAUUUGUGUGGAG